rnacentral:lncRNA from 1 species
AUGACGAAAAUGGUUGUGACUUAUCUUGGAUUCCUUCUUCUGGCCGUACACAUCACAACACCGGUGGUUGCCACUGAGAAUGCUACAGAAAUGAACACGGCGGUUAAUAAUACCGAGCCCGUCACGAAUGUCAGCUUAACUACCGUAACCGACAACCCCUCCAGCAGCGGCGUUAACUCCACCGUUGCUACCGCUGCAGGCAUAACGUUUCAGUCCGGUGCCCUAAGCCUGCUACUUCCAGUGUCUAUUGUGGGCACGCUCAUUCACGGCCGCUGCUAGAGGAUGGGAAAUUCAACUGAGACCACCAAGACUGUGACGAUCAGCGGCAAAGACUGUGAGCCUCCAAAGAGCAUAUUUUUUUAAAUUCUCGGGAAUCGGUCUCCCGCGGUUUGUGUGUUGGGAUGGAACUGACGCUGUACACUGACGGAAAGUGGGCAACAACAUGGACGGGGUUUCUCCCACGUAAGGUGCACACCACUGGUUCUUCAUGCUGAAUUCCUAGCGUCCAGAAAUCCCGUCCCACUCGAAGGACUGCUCUAACAUCUUGCUUUGAACUCCAAAACACACAGGUGGAGAUUGAUGUGCAACGAGGAUGUACAAAACUCCGCUCUUUGGCACGAUUUUUUUCUGUUCACUUUAUGCCACUGUUUGUACCUGUGUAUUUGUAUUGGACAGUAACUUUUAAGCGCCUAAAUUCACAAGUGCCCAGGAAGUCAACCCACCAUGUUGGUCGAGGCGCCUUGUGAUUUGCAAGUCUUGCGCUCAGUGAAAGCCAACGGUUAAAUUUGCCCGUCUUAUGCGCAUCUCCAACAGGUGCAUGAACAUAUUGUGAUUUAGCUUAAUUAUAAUUGUUUUAUAAAAAGUGUAAACCCCUGUUUAAGUGUGUAAUGCUUUAGGUUUUUUUCUUUUGUAAAAAAUAUAGGCUAUAAUAAGUUUCAUUGUAAUGCGUUCGUGAUCUGUAAUGUUCUUUGUAAUGCUUUGUCGACAAUAAAAUUCCCAAGUUGCCCUAACA